rnacentral:rRNA from 1 species
AAAUGACUCUCGGCAACGGAUAUCUCGGCUCUCGCAUCGAUGAAGAACGUAGCGAAAUGCGAUACUUGGUGUGAAUUGCAGAAUCCCGUGAACCAUCGAGUUUUUGAACGCAAGUUGCGCCCGAAGCCUUUGGCCAGGGCACGUCUGCCUGGGCGUCACGC